rnacentral:rRNA from 1 species
UAAUUGAAGAGUUUGAUCAUGGCUCAGAUUGAACGCUGGCGGCAGGCUUAACACAUGCAAGUCGAACGGUAACAGGAGAAAAGCUUGCUUUUCUUGCUGACGAGUGGCGGACGGGUGAGUAAUGCUUGGGAAUCUGCCUUGUGGAGGGGGAUAACUACGGGAAACUGUAGCUAAUACCGCGUAAUAUCGAAAGAUUAAAGUAUGGGAUCUUCGGACCAUAUACCACGAGAUGAGCCCAAGUGAGAUUAGGUAGUUGGUGAGGUAAAGGCUCACCAAGCUGACGAUCUCUAGCUGGUUUGAGAGGAUGACCAGCCACACUGGAACUGAGACACGGUCCAGACUCCUACGGGAGGCAGCAGUGGGGAAUAUUGCACAAUGGGGGAAACCCUGAUGCAGCCAUGCCGCGUGAAUGAAGAAGGCUUUCGGGUUGUAAAGUUCUUUCAGCGAUGAGGAAGGGUUUGU